UAGGGAAUCUUCCACAAUGGGCGCAAGCCUGAUGGAGCAACGCCGCGUGUGUGAUGAAGGCUUUCGGUCGUAAAGCACUGUUGUAUGGGAAGAAAUGCUAGAAUAGGGAAUGAUUCUAGUCCGACGGUACCAUACCAGAAAGGGACGGCUAAAUACGUGCCAG
rnacentral:rRNA from 1 species